GACGGAAGGUGCAAGCGUUGCUCGGAAUCACUGGGCGUAAAGGGUGCGUAGGCGGCUUGGUGGGUCUGGUGUGAAAGCCCCGGGCUCAGCCCGGGAAGGGCACUAGAAACUGCCGAGCUGGAGUGCCGGAGGGGAGAGUGGAAUUCCUGGUGUAGCGGUGAAAUGCGUAGAUAUCAGGAGGAAUACCGGUGGCGAAGGCGGGUCUCUGGACAGUUCCUGACGCUGAGGCACGAAGGCCAGGGGAGCAAACGGG
rnacentral:rRNA from 1 species